rnacentral:lncRNA from 1 species
AUGGGAUUUCUGAUAACCGCAGUGUGUCUGUGGGCUGCAGUCGGAGUGGGAAGCCGGCCGGUGACCUCGCCCCUGAAAGAUGCAAAGGUUGAAUGUAUCAUUCAGGAAACGCUGAACGACGACGGGUCACAACAUGCGUGUGGUCCACAGCUCGCAGAGGAACUUGACGAUGUGCAAAGACAUCAGGGUCUGCUCAGGGAGCUGCAGCAGUUGGCUGACGAUGAGAGAGACAGGGAGCACGGGAACGAUCGUUACGAGUACAACUUGGCUGACGACGAGAGCAACUUUGAGCAGAGGGAUGAGGAGGAGAAGGAGCAGAGGGACCUGACCACCCUCGUGACAAAGACGGACGAAAAGAGGGCCGACGAGACGGAGGACGAUGACACCAAAGAGAGGAUGAUGGAGAAGCCACGAGUCGACGACCCGGGGAGGGACGAUGAAGAGGAGAGAGCCAGGGAGCUCGAGGAGCUGCUGGCCGAAGAGAUCACCAAGAAAGGGACGGAGGAGAGGAAUGACGAAGAGCUCAAAGAACUGCUCAAAGAGCUGAAAAAGAAGCGAUACGAGGCUGUGAAGGAGAGGGAGAUCCAGAAGGGCUCUGGAUCGGAGCAGGAGGCGGAAGUGGGGGAAGAUAAGAAGGAAGAGGAGGACAAAGGGACUAAAGGACUAACGGCGGAAGAUGUGGAGAAGCAAAAGAUGGAGGAGAGGAAGAAGAACGAAGUGGAGCUGAUGGUGGAGAAGGAGAAAGUGGAGAAGGAGCUAAAGGAGCUUUUCAAAGAGCAGGACAGCAAGAACGUGCCACAGCAGGAGAGGGAGCGGAAGGAGAAGCAGGAGGAGCUGGACGAACUCGUGAGGAAGAUGAAGCGGGUGCAGGAGGAGGAGGAGGACGAGACGCAGGGCGGGACGAAAGAGGACGGGGUGGAGGACGUGCCGCCGUCGGUGGAGGAGAAGAGUGAAAAGGCGGAGGGAGAAGGAGAAAAGGAGCCUGAUGAGAAAGCAGAGAAUGAGGUGAAGAAGAAGGAGGAGGAGGUGAAGGAGCCUCAGCAAAAGAGAGUGAUGGAGAAGGCCAGCGACGAGGCCACGCGGCAGUUUGAGCGGGAGCGGUACAAGGGCGAGGAGGAAGAGGAGGAAAACGGGGAGGACGAUGAGGACGAGUACGUCCGGGAGGAUGAAGAGGGCCAGGAGGAGGAAGACGAUGAUGAUGAUGAGGGUGAUGCUGAAGAGGACGAAGGGGAGGAGCUGCUGGAGAUUGAAGCAGAGCUGCGCAAAGUGGCUGCGGAGCUGAGACAGCUUCGCAGGGGAUAA